UUAAGUUCAGCGGGUAUCCCUACCUGAUUCGAGGAGUUCCAAUGUCUAGGUCUCCCCGCCCGAAAAACGGGCCAGGGCUGGCAGCCUCGCCGCGCACGAGGGCCCAUGCGUCAUAUCACGCUCGGCCACGCGGGCAGGCGUCCGCCCAUGGAUUCCGGCGCGGUGGCCGCCCUGUCGGGCCCGCCGCCGCCGCCAAUACC
rnacentral:misc_RNA from 1 species